rnacentral:rRNA from 1 species
UACGGGGGGAGCAAGCGUUGUUCGGAUUCACUGGGCGUAAAGGGCGCGUAGGCGGCCACCGCAAGUCGAUUGUGAAAUCUCCGGGCUUAACCCGGAAAGGUCAACCGAUACUGCGGGGCUAGAGUGCAGAAGGGGCAACUGGAAUUCUCGGUGUAGCGGUGAAAUGCGUAGAUAUCGAGAGGAACACCUGCGGCGAAGGCGGGUUGCUGGGCUGACACUGACGCUGAAGUGCGAAAGCUAGGGGAGCGAACGGG